UAGGGAGACCUAAUCCACUCAAACAUCGAAAACUUAUCUUAUAGUGAUUAGAUACUGAGUUGGUCAUUCCUAGGUCGGUCGAGUAUUGGUCAAAGCUUUCAAAGUAUUUUUGGUUCAGUUCAAAAACAUCUAAAUUUGUAAUUGGAAUAGAAAUUCAGCAAUUGAUUGUAGAGACAAUCGAACUGCUGGGUAGAUAUCCAGCCAGAACCUUGAAAACUGCAUAGUAACGCGAAAAAAAAGCAGGCAGACACAGACAUCAAUGAUGAAAGUGUUUGCAUGGAUAAACCAAUGAAAAAGU
rnacentral:misc_RNA from 1 species